ACCAGUGCUUUUACUGGACUGGCUACACCCGUUCCCAUUUCGAACACGGCCGUUAAGCAGUCCAAGGCCGAUGGUAGUACGGCUGAUGCCGUGCAAGAGUAGGUAAGUGCUGGUU
rnacentral:rRNA from 3 species